UGGUGAGAUCGUAAAGUCGUCUAGCCUGCAUUUGCUCCACUCUGUAAAUCCUACCGGUUUCUGAGAUUUAAUUCCUUAAACUACCAUACACUUAAACGACAUUAGGUAGUUUAACAUUUUGACACACACAUAUACUUGUCUAAAAGGUGUUUAUUGAGAAAAAAUAGAGGUAGGCUUCCGAGGUGGGCAGGGGCGUAUUGGCAAUCUGGCAAUUCUGGCAAAUGCCAGAUUGGCUGGACCAUUUUUUUGUUGGGGGGCUGGUCGAAAUUGACACACACAAAAAAACGAUGCAAAGGUAACAUUGCCAGUGGCCCAUGCUGCCCUACAAAGGCAAAAUGCAGCUUCCAUGUCUUCUCCCUGGACCUCCUCAAUGUCCAUCUCUUGAACAUCAGACUCUGAGGCCUCAUCUUCACUGUCACUUUCCAACCUGGUUGAGGAUGGCUCGUUGUCAGGCUCAAAAAGCCUCAAAUUUGCCCGGAUGGCCACCAACUUUUCAACUCUUGUAUUGGUCAGCCUGUUGCGUGCUUUGGUGUGUGUGUUCCCAAACAAGGACCCGUUGCGCUCUGAGGCGGCUGAUGUUGGUGGGAUUUGGAGGAUGAUGUAGGCAACAGAGGAAAGAGCCUCAGAUUCACAAAGUCCCAUCCACCAGGUGGCUGAUGAGAUAUUUUGGCACGACUGCCAUAUUGCAUCACCAUACCAAAGCCCUUGCUUGGAAGUGUACUUCGCCAGACUGCCAAGAACAUUGCCCUCAUCCAGGCCAAGGUGGCGAGACAUGGUAGUGAUGACACCGUAGGCGUUGUUGAUCUCUGCACCAGACAGGAUGCUCUUGCCAGCAUACUUGGGGUCCAACAUGUACGCUGCGGCGUGUAUGGGCUUCAGGCAGAAGUCUUCAUGCUUUUUGAUGUAUUUCAGAACUGCAGUUUCCUCUGCUUGGAGCAACAGUGAAGUGGGCAGGGCUGUAUGGAUUUCUUCUCUUACAUCUGCAAGCAGAGUCUGAACAUCAGACAGGAUGGCAUUGUCUCCCUCAAUCCGUGCAAUGGCUACUGCUAUAGGUUUCAGGAGUUUCAGGCUGCUUACCACUCUCUCCCAAAAUACAUCAUCCAGGAGCAUCCUAUUGAUGGGGCUGUCUAUAUUGGUAGACUGUGAUAUGGCCAUUUCUUGGAGAGACUCCUUCCCCUCCAGGAGACUGUCAAACUUGAUGACAACACCACCUCAACGGGUGUUGCUGGGCAGCUUCAGUGUGGUGCUCUUAUUCUUCUCACUUUGCUUGGUGAGGUAGAUUGCUGCUAUAACUUGAUGACCCUUCACAUACCUAACCAUUUCCUUGGCUCUCUUGUAGAGUGCAUCCAUUGUUUUCAGUGCCAUGAUGUCCUUGAGGAGCAGAUUAAAUGCAUGAGCAGCACAGCCAAUGGGUGUGAUGUGAGGGUAGGACUCCUCCACUUUAGACAAAGCAGCCUUCAUGUUCGCAGCAUUGUCUGUCACCAGUGCAAAUACCUUCUGUGGUCCAAGGUCAUAGAUGACUGCCUUCAGCUCAUCUGCAAUGUAGAGACUGGUGUGUCUGUUGUCCCUUUUGUCUGUGCUCUUGUAUAAUACUGGUUGAGGGGUGGAGAUGAUGUAGUUAAUUAUUCCUUGCCCACGAAUAUUCGACCACCCAUCAGAGAUGAUUGUGAUACAGUCUGCUUUCUCUGUGAUUUGCUUGACCUUCACUUGAACUCUGUUGAACUCUGCAUCCAGCAAAUUAGUAGAUAAAGCAUGUCUGGUUGUAGGGGUGUAUGCUGGGCGAAGAACAUUCAGAAAUCUCUUCCAAAACACAUUGCUUGUGAGCAUCAGAGGUGAACCAGUUGCAUACACAGCUCGAGCAAGACAUUCAUCUGCAUUUCUUUGACUACGUUCCUCCAUUGAGUCAAAAAAACUUCUGAUUCCAGGAGGACCGUGAGCUGUUGCUAUCGAUAAGGUGUCUGAUUCAUCUUGGCCAGAUGAUUCUGCAUCUUUGUUGCAUUCUUCACAUAUGAUUUGGCACAGUAUUUGUAAAUGUAGACAUCUUUUCCUUCUACAUUAGCUGCAGUGAAAUGUCUCCACACAUCAGAUGGUGCCCGUGGCAUUUUCUUGUAAAGAUUAGAAAGAAAGGAGUAAAAAAAAUAUAUAAAAAUACAAUUCCAUGUACAGAUAAAUAGUUAAGCAGUUAGAUUAAACAACUCCUUUGUUAGGAAAAUGUUUUAAAAUGAAACAUUUAUGGAAACAGGUGAAUUAACAUUCCUCAUUUAGUAGGCUCAAUCAAGCUAAAACCCACAUGGUAGCAAAAACUAACUAGCAGAAAUUGUUAACAAGUUAGAAAUUAUUUAAAUACACUUUGCUGUGGGCUACUAUUUACUAGUCAACAAAAAAUCAUGUAUGUCAUGCCACCCAGUAUUGUAAUCAAAACUUACCAGAAAGCAUGUAGGCCUUGGCUCAGACAGUGUAGUAGUGUGGGCUCAAUAGUAUCUCAUUAGUGUGCAAGAUCUUGAGAAUCAGCAGUACAUGUGAUGGAAGAAUGCACUGUGCAUGCAGAGGGUUGCAAUUGAUUGAAUUGGGGAUAGUUUAGACAAAGAAUGCCACAAGACCUAGAAUUGCCUUAUGUGUAUCCCACAAAAAAGGUUCACUGUUAUAAGCUAACUUUUUUGGAUGAAGUUAAGCAAAAUCUGCUUCCCAUGGAAAAUAUCCGACCCUUUGGAGCCCUAUGUGUGAUUGUGUGGGUAGAGUCUAAUGCCAAAUAGUCAGUGCAAAACAAUUACGAUAAAAAAUAUAUAUAAUAAAAGAAGUCAAUGUAAAUAGUUUGGGUAGCCAUUUGAUUAACUAUUCAGCAGUCUUAUGUCUUUGGGGUAGAAGCUGUUAAGGAGCCUUUUCAUCCCAGACUUUGAGCUCCAGUACCGCUUGCCAUGCAGUAGCAGAGAGAACAGUCUAUGACUUGGGUAUUUGGAGUCUUUGACAAUUUUUAGGGCCUUCCUCUGACACUGUCUGGCAUAGAGGUCCUGUAUGGCAGGGAGUUCGGCCCCAGUGAUGUACUGGGCCGUACGCACUACCCUCUGUAGCGUCUUGAGGUUGGAUGCCGAGCAGUUUCCAUACCAAGCGGUGAUGCAGCCAGUCAAUAUGUUCUAAAUGGUGCAGCUGUAGAACUUUCUGAAGAUCUGAGACCACAUGCCAAAUCUUUUAAGCCUCCUGAGGGAGAAGAGGCGUUGUUGUGCCCUCUUCAAGACUGUGUUGGUGUGUUUGGACCAUGAUAAGUCCUUAGUGUCACGUUCCUGACCUAUUUCUGUUAGUUUGUUAUAUGUGUUAGUUGGUCAGGACGUGAGUUUGGGUGGGCAUUCUAUGUUUUCUGUUUCUAUGUUGGUUUAUGGGUUGCCUGGUAUGGCUCUUAAUUAGAGGCAGGUGUUUGGCGUUCCUCUAAUUAAGAGUCAUAUUUAGGUAGGUGUUUUCACAGUGUUCGUUGUGGGUGAUUGUCUCCUGUGUUGUGUAUGUCGUUGCGCCACACGGGACUGGUUUCGGUUUGUUUGUUCAGUGUCAUUUAUGUGUAGGCUUUUUUCCCUGUUCGUGCGUUCUCGUGUGUUAUGUGAGUCCGUCGUUCAGAUCUGUCUACACCGUUUAUUUGUUUUGUUAGUGUAUAGUCGAGUUCGUGUUUUUUUUCUUUAAUAAAUCAUGUCGACAAAAUCCGCUGCAUAUUGGUUCAAUCCCUGCUCCUCCUCUUCUGAUGAAGAAAGCCGUUACACUUAGUGAUGUGGACACCCUCGACAUGCAACACUACAGCCCUGUCUAUGUGAAUGGAGGCGUGUUCGGCCCUCUGUUUCCUGUGGUCUAUGAUAAGUUAUUUUGUCUUGCCCACAUUGAGGGAGAGGUUGUUAUCCUGGCAUCACACUGCCAGGUCUCUGACCUCCUCCCUAUAGGCUGUCUCUUGGUCGUUGGUGUUCAGCCCUACCACUUAAUGAUUGCGUUGGAGUCGUGCGCGGCCACGCAGUUGUGGUUGAACAGGAAGUACAGGAGGGGACUGAGCAGGCACUUCUGAGGGACCCCCAUGUUGAGGGUCAGCAUGGCGGAUGUGUUGUUGCCUACCCUCACCACCUGAGGGUGGCCCAUCAGGAAGUCCAGGAUCCAGUUGCAGAAGGAGGUGUUCAGUCCCAGGGUCCUUAGCUUAGUGAUGAGCUUGUAGAGCAUUAUAGUGUUGAACACUGAGCUGUAGUCAAUGAACAGCGUUCUCAUGUAGGUGGCCCUUUUGUUCAGGUGGGAAAGGGCAGUGUGGAGUGCAAAAGAGAUUGCGUCAUCUAUGGAUCUGUUGGAGUGGUAUGCGAAUUGGAGUGGAUCCAGGGUUUCUGGGCUGAUGGUAUUGAUGUGCCAGCUGGUCAGCGCAUGCUCUGAGUACGUGUCCUGGUAAUCUGCCUGGCUCUGCGGGCUUGUGAAUGUUAACCUGUUUAAAGGUCUUACGCACAUUGGCUACAGAGAGCGCAGUUUUCACAUAUGUAGACACUGGUAUUGUGCUGGAGAUAAUGAAAAUGAGGUUGAAAAUUUGUCGAAUUGCCCUUUAGGCAGACAGACAGACAGACGGAGAACAAGAAGAAGAACAGAAUGACAGCAGAGAAGAUGCUGAGACACAUAGACAGCACAACAGGGAGGCAAACAAAAUGGUCUCUUCCAAAAUUUCGGCCACACUUUAUUUGGAGAGUUAGAAAUGCUCCAUCUGUAGAUGCUCUAAAGAUGGUCAUUCUAUCAACAGACUAUCUGUUGUUCAGCAACUGCUUGCUAAGGUUAAGGUUAGGGUUAGAGAUAGGGUUAGUAGAUAGUUAGUUGAAAUGUUACAGAUAGUCUGUAGAUCAUCUACAGAUGGACUAUCCAAAUAAAGUGUUACCAAAAUUAUUUUCUAGGUCUAGUUGCAGAAAACAGUCAUCAUGCUAUAAUUGGCUAAAGCAGAAACAGACUGCCACCCAGAAUAAUAUUCCUCCAUCAUUAUUAUAGAUUUGGAUAGAUUUUGUAAACUCCUCUGCCCACCCCCUGCAACAGUGAAAUACAAGAGUUCAAGUCUCUGAAAGGCCGACUAUAAUUGCAUUCUAUCAACAUCACUGGAUAUUCAGACACAUUGGUUGUCACAAAAGUCAAUUUUAUUAUUACAUUUGAAAUUAGGUCUAAAAUGUCAGCAACUGUCGAGGGGAAUGUCUGACUGAGCUAAAGUUACUCAUUGCAUUAAAAAAUAGUGAACACAUUGCAUUCUUGAAAGUUAUGGGGUAAACAAAGAUUGGCACAAAAAAUAUAUGAGCAGCUGCAACUUCAUAAGACAGUUCUUGAUAGCUGGAUCUUCUCUGGACAUCAUUAGAACUGCUGGGCUCGCUAUAACCUCUUAACCAAGGUUUAAUCUAUACAAAUACAAGGAGUAUCACUAAUCAUUAACUCUACUAAGCCUUAUCAAACAUCAGUUAACUUGUUCCUAAUUUUUGCCACUCCACAUCCACAUGUCAUUAUUAUCUUCUUUUUUUCUAUGUGAACUUUUGAACUAAUAAUUAAAGAGAAAUCUUGCGCAUUUUGGUCAUGAUUUUGAAACACAGAUUGGCCAUUGAAUGAUGUACUUCAGUGGUUCCCUACCUUUUUUGGUUACCAUACCACCAACUGAAUUUUGCUCUGCCUGGAGUAGCCCUGAAGUUCCCCCCAUCGUCUCAUGAGUCCUCUCAAGUACCCCCUAUGGACAGGCCAGGUACCCCCAGGGUUCCUAGUACUUCAUGUUUCAAUGCAUUUCACUCUCACUGUCCUUUCCUACUACAUUUGACAAAAUAAAUGUGAAUGAUUUCAGGAAAGGAUGUGCACUAUGCAUAGGCUACCUACGUUUUUGGCCAGUCAGUUUGAGCUGUUUAGCCAUGAAACUGUUUAUAUUCUGUCCACCCUUUUCAUAGGAAUCUGCCAUUAUGUAAAGUUAUUAAUACACCUGCUUGGCAUGUCUGCAUAGUUAUUUUGCUGUCGUUGGGCUCGUUGGUGUCACGCCCUGGCCUUAGUUAUCUUUGUUUUUCUUUAUUAUUUUAGUUAGGUCAGGGUGUGACAUGGGGGAUGUUUGUGUGUUUUUGUCACGUCUAGGGUGUUUGUAUUGUCUAGGGGGUGUUUGUAGAGUUCAUGGGGUUGUGUUCAGUGUAGGUGUUUAUGUAAGUCUUUGGUUGCCUGGAUUGGUUCUCAAUUAGAGACAGCUGUCUAUUGUUGUCUCUGAUUGGGAGCCAUAUUUAGGCAGCCAUAGUCAUUAGGUAGGUUGUGGGUAAUUGUCUAUGUGUAAGUUGCCAGUGUCUGCACUUAUUUGUUUUGUAUAGCUUCACAUUCGUCGUUUUGUUAGUUUGUAAAAGUGUUUGUUUCGUCUUCAUUAAAAAGGAAGAUGUAUUGUUAUUA